rnacentral:tRNA from 1 species
GGGAAUGCAGUUCAGUAGUAGGGCGUCUGCCUAGCAUGCAUGAGGCCCUGGGUUCGAUCCCCAGCAUGCCAA